CUGCUGAGUGACGGCGUGGUCAGGCCAGCAGAAACCAACCUCAGCAGGGCCUCCGGUGAAGGAAGAGCGGAAAUGAGGAAAGCACCGUGUGCCUCAGUCACCCAAGUGUGCCGAUGGCUUCUGUUGUGCCUGUGGGAAUCCUCCAAAUCCUAUGUCUGUCUGUACUUCAGUGGGGAAUAACAAUGUUUGUUGUUGGCAUUUGAGAGCAUUAUCUAAGCAUUCCCAUUGCUGAGCUGCCACAGGCCUACUCCACUGCUGAAGAGGCACCGUUUCCUGACGUGACCCAGUCUGAUACAAGGGAGACCCGGCUGCUGAUUUGAGAGGGGAAGAUCAUGGAAAUUUCCCCAGUUAUUUGAAGAGAGAGUUUUUCUGCAACUAUAGACAGUGUAGUGUCUGUCCCGUGAAUCCUUUCUACAAAGAAAACUUUAUUCUGAAGGAGAUGAUGCCCUGAACCCCUUUUGCAGAGGUCUCGCGUCCGUCAUGCACUACCUGAGGCUUCAGAGUGUUUGGGGAUAAAGUUAUAAAGUUAAAAAUGA